rnacentral:ncRNA from 1 species
GGAAAAGCUCGAACGACCUUUAACAAACGGGUACCUGUACCCGAAACCGACACAGGUAGGUAGGUAGAGAAUACCUAGGGGCGCGAGACAACUCUCUCUAAGGAACUCGACAAAAUAUCCACGUAACUUCGGGAGAAGGGGUGCCUCCUCAGGAGGUCGCAGUGACCAGGCCCGAGCGACUGUUUACCAAAAACACAGGUCUCCGCAAAGUCAUAAGACCAUGUAUGGGGGCUGACACCUGCCCAGUGCCGGAAGGUUAAGGAAGUUGGUGACCUGAUGAUGGGGAAGCCAGUGACCGAAGCCCCGGUGAACGGCGGUCGUAACUAUAACGGUCCAAAGGUAGCGAAAUUCCUUGUCGGGUAAGUUUCGACCCGCACGAAAGGCGUAACGAUCUGGGCACUGUCUCGGAGAGAGACUCGAUGAAAUAGACAUGUCUGUGAAGAUGCGGACUACCUGCACCUGGACAGAAAGACCCUAUGAAGCUUUACUGUUCCCUGGGAUUGUCUUUGGGUUCUUCUUGCGCAGCUU